rnacentral:rRNA from 1 species
CCUACGGGCGGCAGCAGUGGGGAAUAUUGGACAAUGGGGGCAACCCUGAUCCAGCCAUGCCGCGUGUGUGAAGAAGGCCCUCGGGUUGUAAAGCACUUUCAGUGAGGAAGAACGCCUGGUGGUUAAUACCCAUCAGGAAAGACAUCACUCACAGAAGAAGCACCGGCUAACUCCGUGCCAGCAGCCGCGGUAAUACGGAGGGUGCGAGCGUUAAUCGGAAUUACUGGGCGUAAAGCGCGCGUAGGUGGCUUGAUAAGCCGGUUGUGAAAGCCCCGGGCUCAACCUGGGAACGGCAUCCGGAACUGUCAAGCUAGAGUGCAGGAGAGGAAGGUAGAAUUCCCGGUGUAGCGGUGAAAUGCGUAGAGAUCGGGAGGAAUACCAGUGGCGAAGGCGGCCUUCUGGACUUACACUGACACUGAGGUGCGAAAGCGUGGGUAGCAAACAGGAUUAGAUACCCUAGUAGUC